AUGACAACCAACUCCAUGAAGAAAGAGAGCACAAAACUGACUCCUGGUACCUGCUUGACAAGAGUGUGAAUUCUUCACAUCAUUCCUCUCCUUUUAAGACUUAAAGUUAGGGACCAUUCUGACAUUUUGAUUCAUGUAAGAAAACUGCUAACUUGAACUCCAGAACCUGAAAGAAAGCCAGCAACCAUCUUGUCCAGGCUUGUUGCCUUUAUAGAACAUCUCUCAAUAUUUUAUAUUUCUGACUUAAUGCCAGAACUCCUUUCCCCUUCAAAACAGAACCAAAACAAGGUUCUUGUUUCAGUAAUAGCAAUGUGAGUUAGUCUGAAACUCUAAUCAUGUUGCCUUUCUGGGGAAAUCUUACUGAAAACUUAGGAGAUAAAUUGUCCAUUCUUUUAUAAAGCCUUGUAUUCAGAGCCAGUGAAUUGAGGCAGAGGGACAAUUGUGGCAAUUGACACAUGGAUCCUGAUUCUCAUUUAUUCAGUCCCCUUCUCAGUGCAGACUGGAAAAGCUCAGUUCUCAAGAUGAGCAGCUAAACCACUGGGCAUGCCCUGAGGGACACACCUGGAGCUCUUGAGAGUGACUGUGUGCAAUAACACCACCUAAUCUCUCUUGGAAAUGGACUCAACUCAAUCAGACCUUUCUGUGGCACACUUCUGGUCAGCAGACUGCUCCAGAACCUCCUUCAAGUACUUAAGCAUCUUCACCUAAUUUCCAGAGGAAAAAGAAAAUCUCUACAGUGAGCAUGUAACAAUUUCUUCCUGCCUUAGUUUGGUUUUUUAUUAAAAAAUUGCCUCCCCCAACUAUACCACUGACCCUGCUAUACUCAAUUUCUACAGCCAUGUUCCCUCUUAUGUGUCAGAAUGAGCAGAUUUAUGUUCUUGAGUUUCUGGAUUUAAAAUAAUCUGCAUGUCCAGAGCUGUACACAUGUGUGUCAUGGUGUGUUCUCACUUCUUACUGGUUCUUCAAGACUAAACUGCUGGGAAUGUGUCUUCUCACGAGUCCUAAAGCACACAUAAGGACUCCCUUCAGCCCUUGGUUACAGUUUACUGAAUUGGGAGUUGCACUUCACCUGUUCCUGUGCCAAGGUCAACAGGACACAUUCCCUGCAAGGAGAGCUGUGAUUGAGCAGGAGCCUGACACGGAGGAGCUGUGCAAGCACUGGGAACCCUGGAGCAAAAGCCAGGCCUGUCGUGCCAGCAUCCCAGCUCAGCUGCCUUCCUCAGGGGCUGCUCAGCACUUUGAGAGCUACAGGCACCUGAACCACUGCUGGGAGAAAUUGAGCAAUGGCAUCACAGCGGGAUGAGUCCCAGAGUGCUCCCUCUGAAAUUACAUACUUUUAAACUAGAAAAAAUAUAUCAUUUAGAGGUGAAUGCUUUUUUUUUUGCUUUUGCUUUUUUUCUUUUCUUUUUCCCUCUGCAAUAGUUAGUGUUGCUUUUAUUUGCCCUAAAGGAGCAAGGAUACAGGAAAAUGUUGCCACCCAUGAGCAUAAGUGGAAGGAAACUACAGCAGGUUCUGUUGCAAGAUGGAAGCUCUGUUUAGGAUCCCUGUUGUCUCCUUGGGGAGUCUUACCUGUCUUUACAGUGCCCUGUGAUGGAAAGGGGAGCUGUCAAUCCUGACUCAAAGGGACACAGCCAAAACAGAGCUUUUGUCUGCGUCCACAUCAGCUGAGAAACACUGAAACACUUCCCUCUGCACAUGCACAGAAAAAUAACAUCAGUGGUCUUACCAACAUUGAUAUGUUCCAGGCCUGUAAAAAGCUGCAUCCCAGAGAUAUCUGAGUCUCCAUCCUGGACUUUGAAUCCAAUUGUGAUUUCUUCUAUGGUGUACUUUACCAAAACCUCUCAUUCUCACUCAGACACCUAUUUCUGGAUAUGUAGAUGUCCAGCAGAUUACACCUGGUUUGGAUCCAUAUUUAUUUCCUGCUGAAUGAAGCCUCACUUGCAAUAAAGUUUGGUCAUUCACCCA
ensembl:lncRNA